rnacentral:rRNA from 1 species
GACGAACGCUGGCGGCGUGCUUAACACAUGCAAGUCGAACGGAAAGGCCCUGCUUUUGUGGGGUGCUCGAGUGGCGAACGGGUGAGUAACACGUGAGUAACCUGCCCUUGACUUUGGGAUAACUUCGGGAAACUGGGGCUAAUACCGGAUAGGAGCUCCUGCUGCAUGGUGGGGGUUGGAAAGUUUCGGCGGUUGGGGAUGGACUCGCGGCUUAUCAGCUUGUUGGUGGGGUAGUGGCUUACCAAGGCUUUGACGGGUAGCCGGCCUGAGAGGGUGACCGGCCACAUUGGGACUGAGAUACGGCCCAGACUCCUACGGGAGGCAGCAGUGGGGAAUAUUGCACAAUGGGCGGAAGCCUGAUGCAGCAACGCCGCGUGCGGGAUGACGGCCUUCGGGUUGUAAACCGCUUUCGCCUGUGUCGAAGCGUGAGUGACGGUAAUGGGUAAAGAAGCACCGGCUAACUACGUG